rnacentral:rRNA from 1 species
AUGGUCGUGGAGUGCGUCGGCGCGAACGGAAUAGUAGGUGGCGGCGCCGUCGCCGUCGCCGAGGAUGAGCAGUGCGUAGCGGAGUACGUGGAGGUCGGCGAGGACGAAGGGGAGGUGGUGGGCAGCGGGGCUCCUGCAUCAGAACCUCAGAUGAGGAAGCAUGAGAGUCCUCGCAGACUCGAAGGGCGGACAGCGCCGCGGCGUACUUGCCGACGUGGUCUUCGAAGGAGACGGAGUAGGGGGAGGAGGAGACGGCGGUGGGGAGGGAGAGGUGGCGGGCGGCGGGUCUGCUGCAUCAGAGGAGUAGGCAAGACGACGCAGCGGACGAACAACGCCGGCGGCGUACUUGCCGAUGUCGGCGUCGCGGGAGAUGGGGUAGGGAGGACGGGGGGUGUGGAGGUGGAUCUGGCAGCGGACGAUAAGGCUGCGGUGGAAGAGAGGAGUUGGGGCGGACGGCGCCGGCGGCACCGGUCUCCGCUAGUUCGCUUCCAUAUUUCUUCAGAAUGA